UACGGGAGGCAGCAGUGGGGAAUAUUGCACAAUGGGCGAAAGCCUGAUGCAGCUAUGCCGCGUGUAUGAAGAAGGCCUUAGGGUUGUAAAGUACUUUCAUCGGGGAGGAAAAAACAAAACUAAUAAUUUUAUUUCUUGACGUUACCCGAAAAAGAAGCACCGGCUAACUCCGUGCCAGCAGCCGCGGUAAUACGGAGGGUGCUAGCGUUAAUCAGAAUUACUGGGCGUAAAGAGCACGUAGGUGGUUUUUUUAAGUCUAGAUGUGAAAUCCCUGGGCUUAACCUAGGAACUGCAUUUUGAAACUGAAAUACUAGAGUAUCGUAGAGGGAGGUAGAAUUCUAGGUGUAGCGGUGAAAUGCGUAGAUAUCUGGAGGAAUACCUGUGGCGAAAGCGGCCUCCUAAACGAAUACUGACACUGAGGUGCGAAAGCGUGGGGAGCAAACAGGGAUUAGAUACCCGU
rnacentral:rRNA from 1 species